rnacentral:rRNA from 1 species
CCUACGGGAGGCAGCAGUGGGGAAUUUUGGACAAUGGGCGAAAGCCUGAUCCAGCCAUUCCGCGUGCAGGAUGAAGGCCCUCGGGUUGUAAACUGCUUUUGUACAGAACGAAAAGGUUUCUAUUAAUACUAGGAGCUCAUGACGGUACUGUAAGAAUAAGCACCGGCUAACUACGUGCCAGCAGCCGCGGUAAUACGUAGGGUGCAAGCGUUAAUCGGAAUUACUGGGCGUAAAGCGUGCGCAGGCGGUUAUAUAAGUCAGAUGUGAAAUCCCCGGGCUCAACCUGGGAACUGCAUUUGAGACUGUAUAGCUAGAGUACGGUAGAGGGGGAUGGAAUUCCGCGUGUAGCAGUGAAAUGCGUAGAUAUGCGGAGGAACACCGAUGGCGAAGGCAAUCCCCUGGACCUGUACUGACGCUCAUGCACGAAAGCGUGGGGAGCAAACAGGAUUAGAUACCCUGGUAGUCCACGCCCUAAACGAUGUCAACUGGUUGUUGGGUCUUAACUGACUCAGUAACGAAGCUAACGCGUGAAGUUGACCGCCUGGGGAGUACGGCCGCAAGGUUGAAACUCAAGGAUUGACGG